GCCUCCAGUACGAGACGGAGACCUCCAUGUCUCCUCUCCUUCCUGCUGCCCUCCCUGGCCAGCCCUCUUCCACCCAGGGGGACGGCCCAGCAGCAACUCAGUUCGUGCUUGAUAAUCACCCACCUCCAUACCCCACAUCCAGCAAAGCUCCGUGAGUAACUCACAGCCACCAACCACCAGGGUGCUGAGCUUUCCUUUGUGUCCUUCCAGUGUCUUCAACUGACCAGGUGAGCACCGUCGGACUCAGAUCCUGGAAGGAGGAAGAAGACCGGGAGGAGCAAAGCCUCUAUGAAGUGUCCCAGGAGAGGGUGAGAAGCUGGAUUCUGGGGAGCGUCUUCAGGCUCACUGAAGACGACCCCCAAGAUUGCUAAAAGUUGUGCAGGAAACUCCUAUGAUAAAAUGUGCUGAUAGCACAUAAUUCUGUCCAUGGUACGGAUGACAUUUUUAUCUUUGGAGGAUCCUCAUUUUACAUAAUAAGAUACAAAACUAAGUGGGCACCCUCUAUCCAGUCUGGGGAACUUCAUUAAAGACCUGAGUUUGCUGCUGUCUGUCAUUUGCUUUUCUUCAUGACACCUUUGAACCACCUAAAUAUUGCCAGCACCCUCUUUUGGGACCCUGACAUCUGAGAGGGCCAGUAGGUUUGUGUACGGCCAUCUGACCCCAGCCAUGUAAGUAAUCAUUGAUCAAAAUGUCACUAUGCCACAUGACUGUCCUUAAUAACAACUGCUUAAGUUACUAAAAUGAAAAGGAUGACUGAUACACAUUGGAGUCUUGGAUACUAUGUGGUCACUUCUCUAUGUUGCCUCCUUGAAGCAUCACAGUCACUUUGAGGCAUUAUUAGUUUGGUUCUAUUCAUUAUAGAGAUGAGGAGUGUGAGUCUCAGUUAAGCAAAUUAUUCACGAGACACACCCACAGCUGGAUCUCUCUAACACCAAAGGCUAAUCUGUAAACUAACAUGCUGCACUGCCUGUAGCGGCGAAGUAGACUUGCCGUGUCAAACAGAAUCACCCAGUCCUCAGUUGUACCAUUCAGUAAGCAUCAGCACGCCAUGAAGCGUGCUCCCUGCUGUGUUGCGGGGACAGAACAUCUAUCCCAGGCCUCUGUGGCCGCCCGUUCUGUCCUGUCCAAUCAAGCUCUGUUCUGUUCCAUUGGUCCACAUCUCCGUUUCAGUACCAGUACCAUGCUGUUUUGAUUACUGUAGCAGUUGACUACGUUUCUGAUCAGGUUGACAGUAUUCAUUGAGAGAAACAGAACGUUGUGCAAACAAUCCACAGCACGACGUGCCCCUCAUAAAGCUUUGUUUCUGCAUUGCAGAGAGUGCCGGUGUUCGUCUGAAGUGUGACCCUGGUAAGUAUUCUGGAAUUAUUGUCAAGAAAAAGCUGGUGUCAAUGUGAAGUGCCACCCUGAUUCUGGGAUUGUGAUAGGAGUAAGCAUAGUGCAAGUGUUUUUUAAAAACCUGAAUUCCCCA